rnacentral:lncRNA from 1 species
CGGCCAGAGACGAGGCCCAUCGGCGCCACAUGGAGGCACAGCAGCAGCACACACAGCGACAGAUCUCGGACCUAGUCAGCUACUUCUAGUCCAUUCAGAGCUCGGGAGCGCCUCCGUUGCUUGCCUCGCUCUUCGCUCCACCCCCUGUUUCUGCCCCUACAGGGAGUCCGGUGAGUAUAUAUAUAUUUGUCUGUUGCUUUGGCUUGCGCGGUCGUCCUGCAGAUACUAACGAGAUCGGUUUUAUAUUAUACAGCAUCAGUCGUGGGGUUCGAACCCGACCCCUUCUCCAGGCAGCGGGUAGUAGGUUAGUCCUUAUGGCCACCCGAGUACGCAGCACACGUGGCCUGGUGCCCAUCAGCAGCACGGCCACCCUGGGUUGUCCGGCAGCCCUUCUCCGCGCUCCGGGUACUCGUACCCGUAUCAGUCGGCGCCAGGGUAGGCCAUUUGGGCGCCGUGGGCAGGUGGGAGCUCUCCACACCUUGGGGGGCACUCACCCUGGUCGGCGUGGCCAGAUGGGGGCUUGGGACACGACGGAGGCCACGGCGACGACGGGUCAGAGUCACAGCACUAGGGGUAAGGCGCUAGCGACUUCGAGCAGUGAUAUUCACGUGGACUUGUGGUUUAUGUUAUGAACUUGUGUUUAUGUUGGACUUUAUGUUAGAUUUGUAAUAUCUAUGUGGAUUUGUGAUAUCUAUGAACUUCGAUAUGUUUCAUGUGAUAUAUAUGUGGAUUGUGAUAUAGACAUGUGGAUUGUGAUAUAUAUACAUAUGUGGCUGUGCAUGUAAAAAUCAGAGAAAAAAAUAAAAAACAAAAAAAAUUCCCACCUUUGCCGAGAGCCGUCG